rnacentral:rRNA from 1 species
AGAGUUUGAUCCUGGCUCAGAGUGAACGCUGGCGGCGUGGAUUAGGCAUGCAAGUCGAGCGAUCCAGAUUUUGCAAGAAAGCCGACCUUCGGGAAGGCCGACGAGCGUUAUCGGGAUAGCGGCAAACGGGUGAGUAACGCGUGGGUAACCUACCUCGAGGAGGAGGAUAGCUUCGAGAAAUCGGAGGUAAUACUCCAUAAUGCUUUGAGUCGCAAGAUUCAAAGUUAAAGAUGGCCUAUACUUGUAAGCUGUCACCUUGAGAGGGGCCCGCGUCCUAUCAGGUAGUUGGUAGAGUAAUAGCCUACCAAGCCAUAGACGGGUAGCUGGCGUAAGAGCGUGACCAGCCACAUCGGGACUGAGACACUGCCCGGACUCCUACGGGAGGCUGCAGUCGAGAAUCUUUCCCAAUGGACGAAAGUCUGAGGAUGCGACGCCGCGUGGGGGAUGAAGGCCUUCGGGUUGUAAACUCAUUUUAUUAAGGAGGAAAUCCGGAAAGUUAAUAGCUUUUCGGUUUGACUGUACUUAAUGAAUAAGUCACGGCUAACUCCGUGCCAGCAGCCGCGGUAAUACGGAGGUGGCAAGCGUUACUCGGUUUGACUGGGUGUAAAGGGUCUGUAGGCGGCUAUAUAAGUGUCAGGUGAAAUCUUUCGGCUUAACCGGAAAAUUGCCUGUCAAACUAUAUGGCUUGAGGAUGGGAGAGGAGAGCGGAACUGCCGGUGUAAAGGUGAAAUUUGUGGAUAUCGGCAGGAACGCCUGUGGAGAAAUCGGCUCUCUGGCCCAUACCUGACGCUGAGGGACGAAAGCUAGGGGAGCA